rnacentral:lncRNA from 10 species
CUCUCUGCCCAUUUUUCCCGCUGAAAGAGGGAAGCUGAUAUAAGAGAGUGCUGCUGUUCAGAAGUCUGAGCUGGAUGUGUAGUUGGUCAUCGUCAGCAUACAGAGGAUAACUGAAGCCACGUGUGGGAGGGAAGAUCACCAACUGGGACACAGAUGCUGAAAAGAAGGCAGCCAAGAAUGAACUCUGAGAAAAGCCAACAUUUAAGGAGUGGAUACGAGAAGAGGCAUUGUGAGCUAGACUGAAAAGGAAUGGCCAGAGUUUUGCAAAUGUAAUCAGAAGUGCAUCAUGAAAACCAACAAAGGGAGCAGUUUCAACAAAUAGGGAUGAUCAGCAACAACCUAAAAUAUUACAGAGAGAUCUAGCAAUACAAGUAUUUCAAAUUGUUCUUCAGAUGUAACAAUAUAUCCAAGUUACUGCACUUUCUUUAACCUUCUAAGAAAGAUGGCAUGUCGCAAGUUUCUUCGCACCGUGAUCUCGCUGACUUCAGGAGUGAACCUGCAGACCUUCGCAGUGAGUGUUACAGCUCUUACAUGCAACGCAUCUGCAGUUGCUCGUCCCUCCCAGCGGGUUCCUCGCUGGCCACAAGAGUGAAGCUACAAACUUUCGUGGUGAGUGUUACAGCUCAUAAAAGCUGUGCAAACCCAAAGAGCACGCACCAGCAAAAUUCAGCACAAAGAGGAAAAGAACAACACUUACACACCACAAAAAGGAACCCCAACCUGUUGCAGCCGCUGGCUCCGGCAGCCUGCUUUUAUUCCCUUAUUUGACCCCACCCACAUCCUACUGAUUGGUCCAUUUUACAGAGAGCUGAUUGGUCCAUUUUACAGAGAGCUGAUUGGUCUGUUUUGACAGGGUGCUGAUUGGUGUGUUUACAAACCUUGAGCUAGACACAGGGUGCUGAUUGGUGCAUUUACAAUCCUCCAGCUAGACAUAAAUGUUCUCCAAGACCCCACCCAACUCAGGAACCCAGCUGGCUUCCCUAGGGGAUCCAGGCGCUGGGGCCCUGGGUGGAGCUGCUUGCCCGUCCUGUGCUGCGCCUGCACAGGUUAGCCCUUCAGCGGUUGAUGGGACCGGGGGCUGUGGAGCAGGGGGCGGUGCCUGUCAGGGAGUCUCAGGCUGCAUGAGAGCCCACAGGGUGGGGGGCUCAGGCAUCGUGAGCUGCAGGUCCCCAGCCCUGCCCCAUGGGGAGGUGGCUCAGGCCCGGUGAGAAUUCAAGUGUGGGGCAGAUGGGCAGGCAGUGCUGG